AGUAUGGCGCGUUUCUUGGUUAGUAAAAGCUUCAAAUUUCGGACGCUUUAAUCCGGUGUCUCAGCAUGGAGACCUGUCAUUACAAGAAGGGCAGAUCAGGGAUAUUGAAAGAAUCAGAAACUGUGCUGAGCUGCACAAAUCUGGACAAAGAGUCAGCGGCGUUUAUACAAUGAUGAGUGAGGUGCCUUCGAUGUGUAUUGUGACCAGACAACAUCCUGUGGGGGGUGGACACUGUUUUGGAGAAGACUGCACGCACCUGGGCUGACUCAGUACAAACAUGGCUUUGGUGACCUAAUUGGAAAUGCAACUGUUCCUAAGGAUUCUUUAGGUCCCCAUAAGGGCUGCUCGUUUGACGCGUGGGACGAAGAUCCUUCAGGUAUUUGCUCUGCAAAGAUAGGGGGAGGCUGAUGGUACAGUGCUCAGACAGAAUGUGAUGUUUGUUCAAAUCUCAGUGGUGUCUUUCCGAACUGUGAAAACCCUCAACCCUUAGUGGUUGUUGAUGUUAUUUUUACAGUGGACACAAGCAGCUCAGGAAGCCCUGGCCUAAAGAAAAAGUUAGACAAGAGGAGAGAGAGAGUGGUAGUGGAGAUAAAGAAAUGAGUGAAGCUGAAAAGCUGAUGGAGGAGUUGGUGGAAUUGGAGAUGGAAUCUGAGAAGACAAAAGAGCAGAAGGAUAAGGCCAAGAAACUGGUAGAAGGGGAGAAAAAGAAGGCAAUAGAGAUGAGGGAGAGAGCAAUGGAGAGGUUCAGUCAAACCGAAAAACGACAAGAAGAAACAAAAGGAUGAAGGGAAAAAGGAGAAAAAAAGAAGAAGAUCAGGAGAGGCAAUAGAGUAGUUGAGAGAAAAAGGAGAGAAUAUGCGAGAGAUGAAGGAGCAAGAACUUCAAGAAAGAAGGGAAGAACGAGAAGCCCAAAGAGCUCAAACUGAACAGUCUAUGUCUCAAAUGCAAGCUCAAAAUGAGCAAAUGAAAUUAUUUCAACAACUGCUGCAACAAAUGCAGCAACAGCAACAACAGCACAGCCAACAACAACAACAAUUUGCCAUGUUGCACCAUCAGAUGAUGCAAGUUUUGACGCAUCAAACAUGCAUUUCAGCAACAGUUUAAGAUAGAUUAAGGGUUUGGGUUUGAUAUACAUCAGCAUUGAAUGCAAUGUCAUUAUCUGAGUUUCGUAUGUUAUCUAAUUUUUUUAUAUAAAACAAAAUUUUUAAUCAAAUAGAGUAUAUUUUGUAUU